CAGCCGCCACGGUAAUACGAGGGGGGCAAGCGUUGUUCGGAAUUAUUGGGCGUAAAGGGUGCGUAGGCGGCUUGACAAGUCUUGUGUGAAAUCUAUGGGCUCAACCCAUAGUCUGCACGGGAAACUGUCGGGCUUGAGAAUGGGAGAGGUGAGUGGAAUUUCCGGUGUAGCGGUGAAAUGCGUAGAUAUCGGAAGGAACACCUGUGGCGAAAGCGGCUCACUGGACCAUUUCUGACGCUGAUGCACGAAAGCUAGGGGAGCAAACAGGAUUAGAUACCCCCGUAGUCCCUGUCUCUUAUAC
rnacentral:rRNA from 1 species